UACAGAAUUGUUCCAUUGCUUUACUCUGUAGUUUACAUUUUAUUUUUACCAGUGUUGCCCUGUUCUGGAAAUUUUGGUAUGCAGUAAAAGGUCAAAUAAAAGGUUAAAACUUUAGUAUUAAGCUGAGCUGAUUAAAUGCUAUGAAUAGUUUUACUGGGUGGUGUUGGGCAUGUAAUCAAGAUCAACUGAAGUAAGAUAUGAGAUGAAA